UACGUAGGGGGCAAGCGUUGUCCGGAAUUAUUGGGCGUAAGAGCUUGUAGGCGGUCUGUUCGCGUCUGCUGUGAAAUCCGGGGCUCAACCCGGACUUGCAGUGGUACGGCAGACUAGAGUGUGUAGGGAGACUGGAUCUGGUGUAGCGUGAAUGCGCAGAUAUCAGAGACACGAUGCGAGCAGUCUCUGCACUACUGACGCUG
rnacentral:rRNA from 1 species